AUCAUGGCUCAGAUUGAACGCUGGCGGCAUGCUUUACACAUGCAAGUCGAGCGGCAGCGCGGGGGCAACCCUGGCGGCGAGCGGCGAACGGGUGAGUAAUGCAUCGGAACGUGUCCCGUAGUGGGGGAUAACCCGGCGAAAGCCGGGCUAAUACCGCAUAUGCUCUACGGAGAAAGGGGGGGAUCCGCAAGGACCUCUCGCUAUGGGAGCGGCCGAUGUCCGAUUAGCUUGUUGGUGGGGUAAUGGCUUACCAAGGCGACGAUCGGUAGCUGGUCUGAGAGGAUGAUCAGCCACACUGGGACUGAGACACGGCCCAGACUCCUACGGGAGGCAGCAGUGGGAAUUUUGGACAAUGGGGGCAACCCUGAUCCAGCCCAUGCCGCGUGCGGGAAGAAGGCCUUCGGGUUGUAAACCGCUUUUAGUCGGGAAGAAAAGGCGAUCUCUAAUACGGGUCGUUCUUGACGGUACCGGCGGAAUAAGCACCGGCUAACUACGUG
rnacentral:rRNA from 1 species